AUUGAACGCUGGCGGCAUGCCUUACACAUGCAAGUCGAACGGUAACAGGUCUUCGGAUGCUGACGAGUGGCGAACGGGUGAGUAAUGCAUCGGAACGUGCCCAGUAGUGGGGGAUAGCCCGGCGAAAGCCGGAUUAGUACCGCAUACGACCUGAGGGUGAAAGGGGGGGAUCUCAAGACCUCUCGCUAUUGGAGCGGCCGAUGUCAGAUUAGCUAGUUGGUGGGGUAAAGGCCUACCAAGGCAACGAUCUGUAGUUGGUCUGAGAGGACGACCAGCCACACUGGGACUGAGACACGGCCCAGACUCCUACGGGAGGCAGCAGUGGGGAAUUUUGGACAAUGGGCGCAAGCCUGAUCCAGCAAUGCCGCGUGCAGGAAGAAGGCCUUCGGGUUGUAAACUGCUUUUGUCAGGGAAGAAAUCUUCUGGGUUAAUACCUCGGGAGGAUGACGGUACCUGAAGAAUAAGCACCGGCUAACUACGUGCCAGCAGCCGCCGUAA
rnacentral:rRNA from 1 species